rnacentral:rRNA from 1 species
GAUGAACGCUAGCGACAGGCUUAACACAUGCAAGUCGAGGGGCAGCAUGAUUUGUAGCAAUACAGAUUGAUGGCGACCGGCGCACGGGUGAGUAACGCGUAUGCAACUUACCUAUCAGAGGGGGAUAGCCCGGCGAAAGUCGGAUUAAUACCCCAUAAAACAGGGGUCCCGCAUGGGAAUAUUUGUUAAAGAUUCAUCGCUGAUAGAUAGGCAUGCGUUCCAUUAGGCAGUUGGCGGGGUAACGGCCCACCAAACCGACGAUGGAUAGGGGUUCUGAGAGGAAGGUCCCCCACAUUGGUACUGAGACACGGACCAAACUCCUACGGGAGGCAGCAGUGAGGAAUAUUGGUCAAUGGGGCGAGAGCCUGAACCAGCCAAGUAGCGUGAAGGAUGAAGGUCCUACGGAUUGUAAACUUCUUUUAUAAGGGAAUAAAGUUUCCUACGUGUAGAUUUUGUAUGUACCGUAUGAAUAAGCAUCGGCUAACUCCGUG